AGUGAACGCUGGCGGCAUGCCUUACACAUGCAAGUCGAACGGUAACAGGCCGCAAGGUGCUGACGAGUGGCGAACGGGUGAGUAAUACAUCGGAACGUGCCCGAGAGUGGGGGAUAACGGAGCGAAAGCUUUGCUAAUACCGCAUACGAUCUACGGACGAAAGCAGGGGACCGCAAGGCCUUGCGCUCAUGGAGCGGCCGAUGGCAGAUUAGGUAGUUGGUGGGAUAAAAGCUUACCAAGCCGACGAUCUGUAGCUGGUCUGAGAGGACGACCAGCCACACUGGGACUGAGACACGGCCCAGACUCCUACGGGAGGCAGCAGUGGGGAAUUUUCCGCAAUGGGCGAAAGCCUGACGGAGCAAUACCGCGUGAGGGAAGAAUGCCUAUGGGUUGUAAACCUCUUUUUUCAGGGAGGAAAAGGUUUCUAUUAAUACUAGGAGCUCAUGACGGUACCGUAAGAAUAAGCACCGGCUAACUACGUGCCAGCAGCCGC
rnacentral:rRNA from 1 species